GCAGCGCGAGCCCGGAGACCCCGGCCGGCCCCGCCGCGGUUGCCCGGACACGGACUAACGGACCCGGAGCACCUUGGCCGCCGGCGCCACGGAGCCGGCGGGGUGGGCAGGCGCGGCGCGGGGAGCAGGGCGGAGCCGUGUCUGUCCAAUCAAAUACUGCACAUCUGUCUAGGGGAGAGGCUAGGAAUUUUGGAUUUCUUUAUUUGCUCUAUAGGACCCAAAUGAGAUGAUCCACAGCAACACUUCCCUUCCGCAGAUGAGGAAAGUGAGGCUCAGAGCCGAUAUACGACUGGACCAAGGUUUGAAAAUACUGUAAAUAACCAUGCCUGAGACAAUUUCCUCUUCUCCCACUGGAGGUGAUCAAACCAAGAAGGAUGGAACGUGUCCUGGAGAAAAGGCUGUCAAAGAGAAGCCAUGGGAGAGGCAGAAUGGAGAAGACAAUGCAACGUCACAAGCUUUGGUUCUGUUUGGUCCUCCUAAGGAAACUGUUGAGAUUUUUCAUGAAAGUAAAAUGACAAAUACUGCAGGGGUGAAUAAAGGCAUUUACUUUAGCUACCCAUGUCGACGUCACAGCUGUGCUUUAGUAAACAUCCCAGCACCAUGUGUCAACAAAAUGAUUUCACACAUUGAAGAUGUGGAGUCUAAAAUACAGGAGCAUUUGAAACAGAUUGAAACUUCUUUUGAAGAAUGGAGCAGCGCUGCUUCCACAAAAGACCUGAGACAAGACUGGGGUAUUGUUACACCAGCGAAAGAAGUCAAACCAGAAGAAGAGAGAGAUGAAAAGUGUCCAGAAUUAAAGCAGGAAAUGGAAACAUUGCUCUCAGAGGCCAUCCAUCUCAUUAAAAGUCUUGAAACUGACCGUGCAGAAGCUGAAGAAGCUUUAAAACGACACAGAUCAAGAAGGAAAAAGAUUAACAUGAAAAUUGAUUCUUGGUCAAUCUGGAAACUUCAAGAAAUCCCGUUAGCUGUGCAGAAAGAACAUGAGGCCUAUUUGAGAGAUAUUAUAGAAUUACGAUGGCAUCUUGAAGAUAAGUCUCAACAACUAAAACAAGUUGAGGAACAAAAGGGAAAAUGGGAAGAAGCUAACGCAAAGCUUCAGGCAGACGUAGACUACAUGACUGAACACGCUCCUCUGUUGGACUCAAAGUGGAUCCAGGAACUUGAAGCUCUGAAUGAAUAUAAAAGAAAAAAUAUUGAGGUAAUGGGACUAUACAAACAAGUUCAUGAAGAACUUGAAGAAACUAUAGAAAGCCGCAAAACUGCCAAAUUGAAUGCUAUACAACUUAGAGAAGAGAUGGAAAAGGAUAUUGCUAAUACUAAAAUAAGCAUAGAAGCCUACAAGAAAGAGAUAAAUAAACUUAGCCAUCUAGGUGUUCACUACUCUACAUCAAUACACGAGAUUUGGUCUAAUAUUGAGGAGAAUGAAGAAGCAGUGACUGAAGUAUUGAAGGAAACAAAGACAUCAACAAAUGAAUUAUCUUCUUUAUCAAAAAAGCUAGAUGAAUUGAAAAGGGUUUGUGAUCAACUAAUCUGGAAGAAAAAAAAUUAUGAAAAUGAAUAUCUGGAAGCACUUAAUAGUUUUUAUACCACACAAAAAACAUGGGAUAUUGAACUUUCUAAUAUCGCACAAGAUUUUUCAGAUAUUUCAAUAGUAUAUGCUCAAUUGAUGGAAGAAAAUAAAAAACUUGUGAUCGAUAUUGAAAACAUAUCAAAAGGUAUCAGUGAAAGCAUAAGGAAAAAAGCACAGUUUGAGUCUGAAAUCCAAUCUUUGAUAAAACUGAAGUCAAAAAAUGAAACAUUUCUUAAAGAACUAUACAAGGAUGCUUAUAACAUUGGUACUGUUUUCCACCUAACCAAAUUUAAAACAGAGGAAUUAGAAGAGAAAAUAGCAGAAGUGAGAAGAAAAUUCAAGGGCAGAGAAGACUUCUUGAAAAAACUCACUCGAGGUGAAGUGGCUAAUGGGAUGAUGAUUCAGAAAAAACUGUAUUCCAUUCAAGAAGAUCAGAUAAAUGAGAAGCAGCAGCUUCUGAAAAAGAAAGCAGUAUAUGCCCUAACGCUGGCAGAAUUAGACAAACCUAUGCGUCAACUAGAAGAAGAUGCUGAAAAGCUCAGAAUUAUCCACAAAGAACAUUUUGAAGCUUUAAAUGAUAUAAUUCAGAGGAAAGAACAAAUUAAAGCAAAGGUGAAAAGAACAAAGAAAAACUUGCGAAGAAAGGGGAAGAAAACCCAUGAUGCACUAGUAGAAACUGAGGAAAGAAUAUCAAUGAUUUUUAGAGAAAUAGAGACUACUAAAGGUAAAACAAGUGUUUAUCAAGCCAAAAUAAGUCAAUUGAAUAAAGAGUUAAAAGAAAAAGAAAAGGAAAAGGAAAAUUUUGAUCAGAUACUUGACAGUUUAAGGGACCAACUUAUAGCUAUAAGAUACAAAAAGGAACACGCACAAGCUGUGUUUGAUCAUCUCGCAAGUGAGAAAAAAGACUGUGAGGAGAGACUGUAUGAGGAA